GACGAACGCUGGCGGCGUGCUUAACACAUGCAAGUCGAACGAUGAACCCGGAGCUUGCUCUGGGGGAUUAGUGGCGAACGGGUGAGUAACACGUGAGUAACCUGCCCUGGACUCUGGGAUAAGCGUUGGAAACGACGUCUAAUACCGGAUAGGACCUUGGAUCGCAUGAUCUGGGGUGGAAAGUUUUUUCGGUCUGGGAUGGACUCGCGGCCUAUCAGCUUGUUGGUGAGGUAAUGGCUCACCAAGGCGUCGACGGGUAGCCGGCCUGAGAGGGUGACCGGCCACACUGGGACUGAGACACGGCCCAGACUCCUACGGGAGGCAGCAGUGGGGAAUAUUGCACAAUGGGCGAAAGCCUGAUGCAGCAACGCCGCGUGCGGGAUGACGGCCUUCGGGAUGUAAACCGCUUUUAGUAGGGAAGAAGGGCUUCGGCUUGACGGUACCUGCAGAAAAAGGACCGGCUAACUACGUG
rnacentral:rRNA from 1 species